GUUUCUCUGGCAGUGUCUUAGCUGGUUGUUGUGAGGAGUGAGAACGAAGCAAUCAGCAAGUAUACUGCCGCAGAAAU
rfam:Xiphophorus maculatus strain JP 163 A Contig62.2, whole genome shotgun sequence.